AGUGGGGGAUAACGUAGCGAAAGUUACGCUAAUACCGCAUAUGCCCUGAGGGGGAAAGGGGGGGAUCGCAAGACCUUUCGCUUUCGGAGUGGCCGAUAUCAGAUUAGCUAGUUGGUGGGGUAAAGGCCCACCAAGGCGACGAUCUGUAGCGGGUCUGAGAGGAUGAUCCGCCACACUGGGACUGAGACACGGCCCAGACUCCUACGGGAGGCAGCAGUGGGGAAUUUUGGACAAUGGGGGCAACCCUGAUCCAGCCAUGCCGCGUGAGUGAAGAAGGCCUUCGGGUUGUAAAGCUCUUUCAGCCGGAAAGAAAUCGCGCCGAUUAAUACUCGGCGUGGAUGACGGUACCGGAAGAAGAAGCACCGGCUAACUACGUGCCAGCAGCCGCGGUAAUACGUAGGGUGCGAGCGUUAAUCGGAAUUACUGGGCGUAAAGCGUGCGCAGGCGGUUUUGUAAGACAGGCGUGAAAUCCCCGGGCUUAACCUGGGAACUGCGUUUGUGACUGCAAGGCUAGAGUGUGGCAGAGGGGGGUAGAAUUCCG
rnacentral:rRNA from 1 species